UACGGAGGGUGCAAACGUUGCUCGGAAUCAUUGGGCGUAAAGCGCACGUAGGCGGACUGUUAAGUCGGAUGUGAAAUCCCUCGGCUUAACCGAGGAAGUGCAUUCGAAACUGGCAGUCUUGAGUAUGGAAGAGGGUCGCGGAAUUCCCGGUGUAGAGGUGAAAUUCGUAGAUAUCGGGAGGAACACCAGUGGCGAAGGCGGCGACCUGGGCCAAUACUGACGCUGAGGUGCGAAAGCGUGGGGAGCAAACAGG
rnacentral:rRNA from 1 species